rnacentral:rRNA from 1 species
GACAGAGGGUGCAAACGUUGUUCGGAAUUACUGGGCGUAAAGCGUGCGCAGGCGGUCUACUAAGACAGGUGUGAAAUCCCCGGGCUUAACCUGGGAACUGCGCUUGUAACUGGUAGGCUUGAGUGUGGCAGAGGGGGGUGGAAUUCCAGGUGUAGCAGUGAAAUGCGUAGAUAUCUGGAGGAACACCGAUGGCGAAGGCAGCCCCCUGGGCUAACACUGACGCUCAUGCACGAAAGCGUGGGGAGCAAACAGG